CUACGGGGCGCACCAGGUGCGAAAAUUUUCCAAUGCACGCAAGUGUGAGAGAGGAAUCUUGAGUGUUUUUGUUAAUACAAAAACUUUUGCGUACUUUAAAAAGGUACGAGAAUAAGGGCUGGGCAAGAUCGGUGCCAGCAGCCGCGGUAAUCCCGACGGCCCAAGUGGGACUCACAAUUAUUGGGUCUAAAACAUUCGUAGCCGGCUUUUCAAGUUUUGUGUUAAAUUGCAAGGCUUAACCUUGCAGCUGCACAAAAUACUGAAUCGCUAGGGACUGGGAGACGUAAUGAGUACAUCGAGGGGAGUAGUAAAAUAUGUUAAUCCUCGCUGGACUAACAAUGGCGAAGGCACGUUACGAGAACAGAUCCGACGGUGAGGAAUGAAGGCCAGGGGCGCAAAAUGGAUUAGAUACCCGAGUAGUC
rnacentral:rRNA from 1 species